rnacentral:ncRNA from 1 species
UACAUUUACUCAAAAAGAUGAAACUUACCUGCUUCCAACAUCGAUAGGAUUAACAGAUUAAUAGCUCUUUUAUGAUGGGAUGAGUGUAGUGGUGCAUGGCCAUUCUUAGUUCGUGAGGGGAUCUUUCUGAUCAAAUCUAAAAUAGCCGACUGCCUUGCAUGAUGAUUGAGUUGUUCGAAGAAAACCAGGACU